rnacentral:rRNA from 1 species
UGAGGAAUAUUGGUCAAUGGUCGGGAGACUGAACCAGCCAAGCCGCGUGAGGGAAGAAGGUACAGAGUAUCGUAAACCUCUUUUGUCAGGGAACAAAAGGGCGCCACGUGUGGCGCUCCGAGUGUACCUGAGGAAAAAUGCAUCGGCUAACUCCGUGCCAGCAGCCGCGGUAAUACGGAGGAUGCGAGCGUUAUCCGGAUUUAUUGGGUUUAAAGGGUGCGUAGCGGCGAGUUAAGUCAGCGGUAAAAAUGCCCGGGGCUCAACCCCCGGGCCCCAGGCCGUUGAAACUGGCUUGCUUGAGUUGGAGAGAAGUAGGCGGAAUGCGCGGUGUAGCGGUGAAAUGCUUAGAUAUCGCGCAGAACUCCGAUUGCGAAGGCAGCCUACCGGCUCCACACUGACGCUGAGGCACGAAAGCGUGGGUAUCGAACAGGAUUAGAUACC